GAUGAACGCUGGCGGCGUGCCUAAUACAUGCAAGUCGAGCGAACGGACGAGAAGCUUGCUUCUCUGAUGUUAGCGGCGGACGGGUGAGUAACACGUGGAUAACCUACCUAUAAGACUGGGAUAACUUCGUGAAACCGUAGCUAAUACCUGAUAAUCUUUUGAACCGCAUGGUUCAAAAGUGAAAGACGGUCUUGCUGUCACUUAUAGAUGGAUCCGCGCUGCAUUAGCUAGUUGGUAAGGUAACGGCUUACCAAGGCAACGAUGCAUAGCCGACCUGAGAGGGUGAUCGGCCACACUGGAACUGAGACACGGUCAAGACGCCUACGGGAGGCAGCAGUAGGGAAUCGUCCGAAAAGGGAGAAAGCCUGACGGAGCAACGCCGCGUGAGUGAUGAAGGUCUUCGGAUCGUAAAACUCUGUUAUUAGGGAAGAACAGAUGUGUAAGUAACUGUGCACAUCUUGACGGUACCUAAUCAGAAAGCCACGGCUAACUACGUG
rnacentral:rRNA from 1 species